rnacentral:rRNA from 1 species
AUGUCCAACAUCGGGGAUCCUGUCGUGUUGCUAGACCUGAGAAAGCCAGUCAAGAAGGUGAAGAAGACUACUAUACGCGGGGCCAAGCAUAUCAUUAGGGACCCACUCGAACGCCUUCAUUCAAAGUUGUCAACAGGGGGCAACUCAGAUGUUCAUGAGGCGCCAGUCGACAAAACUGCUGUUACAUCGUUAACUGUUCCCACUAACUCUGACGCAAGUGGCCGACCAUCUCCGCCGGUUGCAGAUGUGCAGGUUAGAACAACAGGCAUCCAUACAUCAGGGAGUGACGAGUCGGUAUCUGCUAGGACAGCUGAAAUAUUGCCAACUCUUCUGGUAAUGAAGGAUGUUGCUGUGAGCCAUGCCAUCCCAUCAGCAAGCGUUGAAGUGGACGCUCCCAAGACCAACCUAAGCAAGGAAGAUUCCCGCUCAUCUGACACUAAUUCCAAGCGCGUGUGUGGUGGCACUUCUAUGUCUACGACAGAAGUGGCUGAGGCGGCAGUUCAUAAUGAUAUGCCAUCUACAGGUAGGAGUCUUGGCACAACAGCUCCAGCUCCUGUCGGUGCAGAUACCCCUAAGGCGACUGUUUCACGUGCUGGUCUUCCACCGAGGUGUCGUAGCCACCGCAAGCAAUCAACUGACAUACCCAACGCACCAGCUGUAGCUAGGAGUAGCAGAGAUGAGUCUGGUUAUGUUCUUGUGUCCACACUGUUCCUGCCACCUUCCAAAAGCAAUGUGAUGGAGAAACCGGAAGACCGAAGCACAACUGAUGCAGGUGUCAAGCCGGGCACGAGUGACGCAGGUGAACGCCCGGAGCAGACUGCGCCUUUACCCGCAGUGGAAAUCCCCAGUUUAAAUCUGCGCACUUCCAGGCUCCCAGUCAAUGUUGGUGUCCCUUACAGCCCAAACAAGAAGAUUAUCAAGGAAGCUGCGGCUGAUACUGCUGACAAUACGCCCCGCCCUACAAAUAAGUCCGAUCAUUCUGUAGCGGCCGAUUCAGAUAUGUUUGUUGAUCUUUCACCCAUGGAUUCCGCCCCGCAAGUUGUUCACGGUCCGGCCAGUAGGCAUGAGAGGCACCCAAUGGCCUUCACCCCAUCGAGCUUCAGCCUUGGCAUCAGUCAAGAUCAACCAGUGGUGCCAGAUCUUAUGCCAGUUGCCUUUGCUUUCUCGGGAGGCAUGCCCGCAAUGAUGGCGCAACCAAUGGUCGAGGGCAGGAAGGUUGUCAAGUUCGCAGAGCCGAUCGUCCAAGGCACCCCUGAGAAGAUUUCACCGUCACUUGAUGGAGCUUACCGCAGGAUCGAGGAGGCAGCAUUGCAGAGGAGGUCCUCACGAGGUCAGGGGCAAUCAAGUUCCAAUGUGCCUGCAGAUACGGUAUCUGAGGAUACCAUUAGGAGUGCCACCCCUGGUUCUGCGAGGCAGCAGAGGGUAGUUCACCCACCUCCCGCGGAAGACUACGAGCCCGAAGUCAGGGCCACAAAGAAACAGACCCAGUUGUACGAUAUUGUCAAGCGAUUUGAAAAUGCGAGGACCAGCAGCAAGCACAUGAAGGAGCUGAAAGCCUCAUGUUUGGAUAGAACCAAGGUCAUUCAAUGCGAAGCGACAUACGUUGACCUGGGUGAUCUUGCCGAGUCCGUGAGGCCAAACGGUAAAAUGUCGACGAAUGUAGUUGCAUGCGGGAUUGACUACAUCAACAAGCAUAUGGAUAUGUCUCCCGACAAAACAAUCAUGCAUUACAGUGUGACCUGCAAAAUAUGGGAUGGUGACUUUCACCACAAAAUCCUGAGAAAGAAUUUUGCUCAACACGGUCAAUUCAAGCUCACACUGAAGAAAUAUGUCCUGUUCCUCAUGUUCCAGGAGCUUGCACCACACGACCCACACGACAAGUGUGGUCACCACUACGUGAUUUGUCUUGACCUAAAGAACCAAUGCUUUGAGGUGCUUGAUUCAAUGUGUUCGGCAGCCGAUGCAGACCUUACUUCGCAUGCUGAAUUCUUCAUCAACAACGUCAAAGAGACAUGGAACCGUCACUACGAAAACUCAAAGGUCCAGAUCAGACAUUUUCCGAUUGAGUACGUGGCGACUACGAAUCAAGGAAACACGACGGACUGUGGCUUUCACACGUUGAAAUACCUUGCAAAGUGGGAAGGUAGACUUGUUCCCGCUGUCACAGCUGCAACGGUCGUUGAGCUCUGGAAAUUUUACACAUGGAACUGGUUGACGAAUGAAGAUUUCAACAAGCGGUCCGGAGCACGCGAGUUCGUGGAGGAAACUGACAAGAAAGUCAUCAAGAAGUACAAGUGA